UCCCUGGUAGUCCAGUGGCUAAGACACCAUGCUCCCAAUGCAGGAGGCCCGGGUUUGAUCCCUGGUCAGGGAA
rfam:Ovis aries breed Texel chromosome 12, whole genome shotgun sequence.